AAACACAGGUACUUUAUAGACGCAUAAUAUACCUUUAACAAUGUUAUUAAAUUAUAUUAUAUUAUAUUAUAUUAUAUUAUAUUAUAUUCGAGUUCAAUCGCUUUGCGCGCGUGCGCCGCUCACGCCCGUGUUAGUAAAAACGAGUGUUUUUAGUUCUUUCUCCAAUUCUUUUUUUUUUUUGCGACUCUUCGUUCGAUUGUAUCUUCGAAAGCCGGAGGUCGACGUCGUAUAAAGUCUGAGAAAAAAGGUGCAAUUAUAUUAACCUUUGAGCUAAUAAUAUCGGAAAACGCUGUGCACAUAAGAAUAUCACAAUAUUGUACGAUGAAAAAAGAAAAAAGUUUAAUGGGUCGACAUCAUUAUGACAUUAUGUACGCUUAUAUAAUUAUGAGUUAAAUAAAAAAAAAUGUUUGUAAGGUUUUCAAAAAUAAUAUCACUCGUAGGUACAAUAUAUACUUUUUAUUCUCUUUAUCUAACCCGUGUGUACUGAUAUGAAGUAUAAUUUCCGUGUUUAACUUUAACGUAAAGGAUUACCGCACCGCACAUAAAUAAUAAUUUGCAACCAUAAUUAUUAUUUAUUAUAUAUUAUUAUGUUUAUAUUAUAUGUAUCAAUGUAUCAUUAUGACAUAGAUAUAUGGUCAUAUGGAUAAAUAUAAUUAUAAUUACAAUUAAUAUAAUAAUAAUAUUAACAACUCGAUGACUGUUAAAAUAAGCAUUUAUUCUAAUAUUGAUUUUAACCGAAGACAUGACAUGCACAAUGAACUAUACGAUUCUGUUAUAUUUGUUUGCAAAUUAAGAUGUUUAAUACACCACACGUCAUGAUAAAUUAUGAUUAUUAUUGUUAUGAUGUUAUUAUGCGUAGGUACAAUCAUUCUUAUUAUCACCGUUAACACGCAGACAACGGGUUUGGAUAUCAAAUGUGUAUACACUACACAUUAUUAUAUAAAUUAUAUACAAUAUACAUAUUACAUAAUA